UCUUAGGUGACUGAGUAUAAGUGUUAGACUUUUAAUCUAAAAACGGCUACUUAAAUCGGCCCCUAAGAA
rnacentral:tRNA from 1 species